rnacentral:rRNA from 1 species
AGUGAACGCUGGCGGUAGGCCUAACAUAUGCAAGUCGAACGGCAGCACAGUAAGAGCUUGCUCUUACGGGUGGCGAGUGGCGGACGGGUGAGGAAUACAUCGGAAUCUACUUUUUCGUGGGGGAUAACGUAGGGAAACUUACGCUAAUACCGCAUACGACCUACGGGUGAAAGCAGGGGAUCUUCGGACCUUGCGCGAUUGAAUGAGCCGAUGUCGGAUUAGCUAGUUGGCGGGGUAAAGGCCCACCAAGGCGACGAUCCGUAGCUGGUCUGAGAGGAUGAUCAGCCACACUGGAACUGAGACACGGUCCAGACUCCUACGGGAGGCAGCAGUGGGGAAUAUUGGACAAUGGGCGCAAGCCUGAUCCAGCCAUACCGCGUGAGUGAAGAAGGCCUUCGGGUUGUAAAGCCCUUUUGUUGGGAAAGAAAAGCAGCAGGUUAAUACCCCGCUGUUCUGACGGUACCCAAAGAAUAAGCACCGGCUAACUUCGUG